rnacentral:lncRNA from 1 species
GGCGGAUGGCGUGGGAUAUAGCACACGAAAAUUUGGGACUCGCGCGGAUUCCCAAUUCUAUGUCGGUAAUCUCCCAAAAAAUGUAAUUUGGUCAUGGCGGGGCGGUGACUAUGAUUCCAUUGGCUGUAUUCGACGUCCAAAAAAAAUAUUAGACGAUCCAGGUCCGGGACCCGGAGCCACGACAGAAGGCGUGGGCUAU